UGCUCCUGGCUAAGUCUUUCCCCUGCUUCCAGGAGAGGCCCCAUCAAGAGGGAAGAAGGCUCAGCUCAGUGAAUCUGGGCCCAGUGAGUUUAGACUUUGGGCUUCUUGAAUCUCAGAGGCAUCUGUUUUGGGGGCUUGCAUUGGAGGUUUCAUCUCGGAGAAAGCAGUAUAGAGGAGCAACUCCCGGGGAGGAGGCACCUGACAUUCAGCCCCAGCUUCCUGCCUGCCCAGGAGCUGAAGGAUGACACCCCUUCUCCUGGGGUAGUGGGACAGUCCACUGUGCCUCAUCUAACGAUCCAAGAUCAAAGUCAGACAUCCAGAUGGAAAAAGGUUCCUGGGGUCUCAGAAUAAGUGGAGAAAGCAUCGUGAACUUCGACAAAGGCAGCAGCAUCCAAUGGGGGGGGAGUUGAGCCUUACUUCUGGGAGCUGUGUUUGUCCUGAAGCAGGUGGCAUCACUACCCAUCCGCCCACUUCAUCUGGCUGCUACAAGGCUGGCACUUUCUCAGGAGUUGCGGGUCUACCCAACUGGUUCCCUUCCUCUACCUCAUCAGUGACCUAUGGGACAGAUGCUGGCUGAUCUAACCGGUUUUCUUUUCUGGGAGCCAGCCUGAAACAAGUACAGGGAAGAGGCCGGAGUCUGAUGCAAUCAAGAGCAGUAUUGGCAUGGGUGUGAAUGCUCAAGCAGUUACAAAAAGCCAGACCACCAAACCUGGCUGAGCCUAGUGACCCACCAAGGUGACUGCUAACCACCCUUUGCUUGGCUAAAAUGGCAUCUUUCUUUUUUUGGGGGGGCGGGUCUUUCGAGACAGGGUUUCUCUGUGGCUUGGGAGGCUG